rnacentral:rRNA from 1 species
AUCGAACGCUGGCGGCAGGCCUAACACAUGCAAGUCGAGCGGAUGAAGGCAGCUUGCUUCUGGAUUCAGCGGCGGAAGGGUGUGUAAUGCAUAGGAAUCUGCUUGGUUGUGGGGGAUAAUGUCCGGAAACGGGCGCUAAUACCGCAUACGUCCUGAGGGAGAAAGUGGGGGAUCUUCGGACCUCACGCUCUCAGAUGAGCCUAGGUCGGAGUAGCUAGUUGGUGGGGUAAAGGCCUACCAAGGCGACGAUCCGUAACUGGUCUGAGAGGAUGAUCAGUCACACUGGAACUGAGACACGGUCCAGACUCCUACGGGAGGCAGCAGUGGGGAAUAUUGGACAAUGGGCGAAAGCCUGAUCCAGCCAUGCCGCGUGUGUGAAGAAGGUCUUCGGAUUGUAAAGCACUUUAAGUUGGGAGGAAGGGCAGUAAGUUAAUACCUUGCUGUUUUGACGUUACCAACAGAAUAAGCACCGGCUAACUUCGUG